rnacentral:rRNA from 1 species
CACGUAGGCACCAAGCGUUGUCCGGAUUUAUUGGGCGUAAAGAGCUCGUAGGCGGUUCGGUAAGUCGGGUGUGAAAACUCUGGGCUCAACCCAGAGCCGCCACCCGAUACUGCUGUGACUUGAGUUCGGUAGGGGAGCGGGGAAUUCCCGGUGUAGUGGUGAAAUGCGUAGAUAUCGGGAGGAACACCAGUGGCGAAGGCGACUACCUGGCCUGUUCUUGACGCUGAGGCGCGAAAGCUAGGGGAGCAAACGGG